ensembl:lncRNA
UUGGCAUUUCGAACAUGUUUAGCCUGUGAUGAACAACUAAUUACUUUUCUGACAUCUCCAAUGAGAGCUGAUCAUCAGCCUUUGAUUCUAACUUUAUUCUGAGGCUCUUAUUAGUAUAUCUGUAGUCUUUGCCUUAGAUUUCACUUUCUAACCUAUUUUUUUGACUCCCAAUUGCUACAGGUCAGAAUGAAGUGUAGGAGGCCGCUGUGUUUCAGAUAGUCCACAGUUCUUAUGGACACAUCUGGUCAGAAUGAAGUCAGAGGCCGCUGUGUUUCAGAUAGUCCACGGUUCUUAUGGACACAUCUGGCAGAUGCGUUCCUGGUGAAGAAAGGAGGCAAUAACCUACACGAUCCUGCCUACGACUGGUUACCUAGUGUUAUCAGGCGCUUCCACGUCAGAUGGAAGCCACCCAGGAGCCUUUUUGUACAAAUAAAUAUGGAGAAGUCAAUCAAUCAUGUGUCGAUGUCCCUUUUUUAUAGUGCUGUAUAUCAACCAGCUAUAGGUCAUAGGUCGCACCAUGUGACUAGUGUAACAGGACUGAUUUUGUCGCCCACUCCACCAUAA